GGGUUGUGAGGUUAAGCGACUAAGCGUACACGGUGGAUGCCCUGGCAGUCAGAGGCGAUGAAGGGCGUGCUAAUCUGCGAUAAGCGCCGGUAAGGUGAUAUGAACCGUUAUAACCGGCGAUACCCGAAUGGGGAAACCCAGUGUGACUCGUCACACUAUCAUUAACUGAAUCCAUAGGUUAAUGAGGCGAACCGGGGGAACUGAAACAUCUAAGUACCCCGAGGAAAAGAAAUCAACCGAGAUUCCCCCAGUAGCGGCGAGCGAACGGGGAGGAGCCCAGAGCCUGAAUCAGCAUGUGUGUUAGUGGAAGCGUCUGGAAAGGCGCGCGAUACAGGGUGACAGCCCCGUACACAAAAGCGCAUGUGCUGUGAGCUCGAUGAGUAGGGCGGGACACGUGGUAUCCUGUCUGAAUAUGGGGGGACCAUCCUCCAAGGCUAAAUACUCCUGACUGACCGAUAGUGAACCAGUACCGUGAGGGAAAGGCGAAAAGAACCCCGGCGAGGGGAGUGAAAAAGAACCUGAAACCGUGUACGUACAAGCAGUGGGAGCCCCACCACUAAGCCAGUGGUGAACUCCACAUACGCAUCCUUUGCUGAGGAUACGGUUAACGGAGCGAAAGCGACGUUCAACCGCAAAAGAAGCAGAGGGGGCUUAGUGGUGGGGUGACUGCGUACCUUUUGUAUAAUGGGUCAGCGACUUAUAUUCUGUAGCAAGGUUAACCGUAUAGGGGAGCCGGAGGGAAACCGAGUCUUAAUUGGGCGUUAAGUUGCAGGGUAUAGACCCGAAACCCGGUGAUCUAGCCAUGGGCAGGUUGAAGGUUGGGUAACACUAACUGGAGGACCGAACCGACUAAUGUUGAAAAAUUAGCGGAUGACCUGUGGCUGGGGGUGAAAGGCCAAUCAAACCGGGAGAUAGCUGGUUCUCCCCGAAAGCUAUUUAGGUAGCGCCUCGUGAACUCAUCUCCGGGGGUAGAGCACUGUUUCGGCUAGGGGGCCAUCCCGGCUUACCAACCCGAUGCAAACUGCGAAU
rnacentral:rRNA from 1 species